CAAAAACAUAGCUAUAUGAAUUAAUAUAUAGUAUUUUCUGCUCAAUGAAUAUUUAAAUAGCCGCAGUACCCUGACUGUGCUAAGGUAGCGCAAUCAAUUGACUUUUGAAUGAAGUCCUGUAUGAAAGAAACCAUGGAGGGCUACUCUCUCAUUGAUAAUAAGUGAAUUUACUUAGGGAGUGCAAAUUCUCCCAAUUAAAUAAUAGACGAGAAGACCCUAGAAAUUUUGAGAUAACUUUUUGUUGGGGCAACAAAGUAGCAAAGUAAUCUACUAUUAUAACCAGUAAUAACUAAUUGGCAAGAUUAAAUUACUCUAGGGAUAACAGCAUAAUUUGAAAGAGUUUGUGACCUCGAUGUUGGAUUAGGGAAUUUACGUCUAGAAGAUAAACUAAGAGCUCUGUUCGAGCA
rnacentral:rRNA from 1 species